GGGGCUAUAGCUCAGUGGGAGAGCGCUUGCAUGGCAUGCAAGAGGUCAGCGGUUCGAUCCCGCUUAGCUCCACCA
rnacentral:tRNA from 1 species